GAGCUGUGCAAAUGUAUGAAACCUAUGGACUUCCGAGAGGAAAUUAAGUAUCCAAGUGUAUCACUACAAUAUAAUAGACAAAGGUUCAUCAUUAAAAUAAAUGUUGAUUCAACUUUAUAUCUUCAGAAUUUUGUCUGUACUCCAUCGAUGUUUAUCAUGUUGGACUUAAAUUUUAUUUGGAUUUAGAUAUUUCUUUCUAAUUAUCAAAUGCUAGUACUUAUGAAUGUCAAAUUAUAUUGUGCUUUGUAUGACUCAAUUUAUCUUUUUAUGUAUGCUAAAUAUUUAGAAUACUUUUAAUGUCAAUUUUAAAUUCAAUUGCA